GCCAGUGUGGUGUAGUGGUUUGAGUGUUGGAUUAUGACUUUGAAAGCCAGGGUUCAAAUCCCAGCUCGUCCA
rnacentral:tRNA from 1 species